UACGUAGGGUGCGAGCGUUGUCCGGAAUUACUGGGCGUAAAGAGCUCGUAGGUGGUUUGUCGCGUUGUCCGUGAAAACUCACAACUCAAUUGUGGGCGUGCGGGCGAUACGGGCAGACUGGAGUACUGCAGGGGAGACUGGAAUUCCUGGUGUAGCGGUGGAAUGCGCAGAUAUCAGGAGGAACACCGGUGGCGAAGGCGGGUCUCUGGGCAGUAACUGACGCUGAGGAGCGAGAGCGUGGGGAGCGAACCGG
rnacentral:rRNA from 1 species